rnacentral:rRNA from 1 species
UGGGGAAUAUUGGACAAUGGGCGAAAGCCUGAUCCAGCCAUGCCGCGUGUGUGAAGAAGGCCUUUUGGUUGUAAAGCACUUUAAGUGGGGAGGAAAAGCUUAUGGUUAAUACCCAUAAGCCCUGACGUUACCCACAGAAUAAGCACCGGCUAACUCUGUGCCAGCAGCCGCGGUAAUACAGAGGGUGCAAGCGUUAAUCGGAAUUACUGGGCGUAAAGCGCGCGUAGGUGGUUAUUUAAGUCAGAUGUGAAAGCCCCGGGCUUAACCUGGGAACUGCAUCUGAUACUGGAUAACUAGAGUAGGUGAGAGGGGAGUAGAAUUCCAGGUGUAGCGGUGAAAUGCGUAGAGAUCUGGAGGAAUACCGAUGGCGAAGGCAGCUCCCUGGCAUCAUACUGACACUGAGGUGCGAAAGCGUGGGUAGCAAACAGGAUUAGAUACCCUGGUAGUCCACGCCGUAAACGAUGCCUACCAGUCGUUGGGUCUUUUAAAGACUUAGUGACGCAGUUAACGCAAUAAGUAGACCGCCUGGGGAGUACGGCCGCAAGGUU